rnacentral:rRNA from 1 species
AACGAACGCUGGCGGCAGGCCUAACACAUGCAAGUCGAACGCCCCGCAAGGGGAGUGGCAGACGGGUGAGUAACGCGUGGGAACCUUCCCUGUGGUACGGAACAACUGACCGAAAGGUUAGCUAAUACCGUAUACGUCCGAGAGGAGAAAGAUUUAUCGCCAUAGGAUGGGCCCGCGUCGGAUUAGCUAGGUGGUGAGGUAAUGGCUCACCAAGGCGACGAUCCGUAGCUGGGCUGAGAGGAUGAUCAGCCACACUGGGACUGAGACACGGCCCAGACUCCUACGGGAGGCAGCAGUGGGGAAUAUUGGACAAUGGGCGCAAGCCUGAUCCAGCCAUGCCGCGUGAGUGAUGAAGGUCUUCGGAUUGUAAAACUCUUUCGCCGGGGAAGAUAAUGACGGUACCCGGAGAAGAAGCUCCGGCUAACUUCGUGCCAGCCGCCGCAGUAACAC